rnacentral:ncRNA from 1 species
UUCACGGAGAGUUUGAUCCUGGCUCAGGACGAACGCUGGCGGCGUGCUUAACACAUGCAAGUCGAACGAUGAAGCCUCUUCGGGGGUGGAUUAGUGGCGAACGGGUGAGUAACACGUGGGCAAUCUGCCCUGUACUUCGGGACAAGCCCUGGAAACGGGGUCUAAUACCGGAUGGGACUGCCGGCCGCAUGGUCUGGUGGUGGAAAGCUUCGGCGGUACAGGAUGAGCCCGCGGCCUAUCAGCUUGUUGGUGGGGUGAUGGCCUACCAAGGCGACGACGGGUAGCCGGCCUGAGAGGGCGACCGGCCACACUGGGACUGAGACACGGCCCAGACUCC